GAUGAAGAACGUAGCAAAAUGCGAUAAGUAAUGUGAAUUGCAGAAUUCAGUGAAUCAUCGAAUCUUUGAACGCACAUUGCGCCCGCCAGUAUUCUGGCGGGCAUGCCUGUUCGAGCGUCAUUUCAACCCUCAAGCACAGCUUGGUGUUGGGACUCGCGUUAAUUCGUGUUCCUCAAAUUGAUUGGCGGUCACGUCGAGCUUCCAUAGCGUAGUAGUAAAACCCUCGUUACUGGUAAUCGUCGCGGCCACGCCGUUAAACCCCAACUUCUGAAUGUUGACCUCGGAUCAGGUAGGAAUACCCGCUGAACUUAAGCAUAUCAAUAAGCGGAGGA
rnacentral:misc_RNA from 1 species